rnacentral:misc_RNA from 1 species
GUGAAUCAUCGAAUCUUUGAACGCAAAUUGCACUCUCUGGUAUUCCGGAGAGUAUGCCUGUUUGAGGGUCAGUUUAAAUAAAAAUCGUUGUGGUUGCUGCCUUUCGUGGUGACGCACCGGAUUUUGUUCGUCUUUCCUUCGUUUAAGUGACCUAAAAUUUUGCAUGUUUUUUUUCGAACGUAUUUAAAUUUUUUUACUUUCGUUUUCUAUAUCUAUUACUUUUUGUUGUCCUCCUCCUUCUUCUCGCCUCUCCUUUUUCAUCAACCUGCCCUCAACUC